UUUAUACGACAGACUAAUUAAAGUUAUCCAUCUAUUCCCGCCAUACCUCUCUUCACCGCUCCGGCGCGUCACCGGCCACCGGAGAGAACGAUGCUUCAGUGCUACUUCACGCCUCGCUCAAUUUCACCUUUCAUUUCUUGUCAACUCUCUACCACCUCAGUGCGCACUCAUUCUUCUCCUUCGCCGCCGCCACCUCUGCUGUCUUUCUCUGCGAAAUCAACUCCGGACUCACUAUCCUCGCCGGCGUGUGCACUCCAGUGCACUCACUUUCAAUCGUGCUCCGGAUGCACACACGAGUUCGACCUCCACCGGCCGGUCAUCGUUGAGGAGGCGACUCAAUUCUUCAACAAUCUUGGAGUAUCGGAUUUUACAUUUGAUAGUUGCAAACUGUGGGGAUGGAGGUGCCGUGCGAAAUUAGCCGUUCGUGGCUCGUCUACAAACCCUAUGAUUGGGCUUUAUCAAGAGGGAACUCAUAAUGUCGUGGAUAUUCCUGAUUGCAAAGCUCAUCACCCUAAUAUAAAUGCGGCAGUUCAAUUGUUAAAACGAGGUAUCACUGAAUUAAACGUAGAGCCUUAUGAUGAAGAUCAGGGGACUGGUGAUCUGCGAUAUGUUCAGAUGGCUGUGACGACUUAUAGCACAUCCCUUCCUUCCUCAGAAAGAUACAAAAAUGGUAAGAUACAGAUAGCUUUAGUUUGGAAUUCAAGGAGUGAAACUUCACAGAAUUCUGACAAGCUAAAUGCAUUAGCCAAUUUCUUAUGGAAAAAUGGUGGUGCCCGAAGUAAUACUCAUCUAGUUCAUUCUGUGUGGGCAAAUUUUCAAACAUCAUCUAACAAUGUAAUAUUUGGUAAUAGAUGGAGGCAUCUUUUAGGCGAAAGAGAUUUUUGGGAGCAUGUUGGUGGAAUAGACAUUUGCCUGACACCAUCAAGUUUUGGCCAAGCAAAUACACAGGCUUUUGAUAGCUUGCUCCGGAAGUUGCAGAAGUAUGUUCCAUAUGGAGCAUCAGUUGCUGAUUUGUAUGCAGGAGCUGGUGUGAUUGGAUUAUCAUUAGCUGCCACAAGGAAAUGCAGAUUUGUGAAGUGUGUCGAGGUCAACAAAGAGUCUAAGCUAUCAUUUGAGAAAACAGUCGAACGUCUACCGGACCGAGUUGAUGGCAGUAUCAGCUGGCACCAUGCAGACACUUCAAAAGAUCCUCUUACUUGGAUUGUGGGAUCAGACGUAGUUGUUGUCGAUCCGCCAAGAAAAGGUUUGGAUGCAUCACUUGCUGAUACAUUGAGAGAUAUAGCAUCACUAAAGCGUAAAGUGAAGUCAUUAUCUAAAAGCCCACAUUUGACGGAUAAGAAAGAUGAAAAAAGGCCAUGGGUUUUACGAGCAAAGGAAGAAACAGUCCAAAUUGGGAGUACAGCUUUGGAACCAAAUCAUUCACUGCCUCAGACUCUUAUUUAUAUAAGUUGUGGAUGGGAAAGCUUCAAGGAGGAUUGCAAGAUGUUACUGUCUAGCAAUGCGUGGCAUUUGGCGAAGGCCCAUGGUUUUAAUUUCUUUCCUGGCACCCAGAGUAUUGAGGUUUUGGCCAUUUUCAAGAGGGGACAGGGAGUGCCCCAGAAGAAAAAGAAAGUGUUGAAGAAGAAAAAGAAACCAACUGUGAGAGUUGCAUCAAGUCAUCAUAUUAGGUAGAAUUUUCAAGCAUAUCCCAGAGUCGGAGUUGUAUCAGAAUAUACGAUUUUGUGAUUGAACAAAGAGCAACGACGAAAUUCUCGAGAGAAUCGAGAUUUUUCGUCUUUUCGAUGUUCCUCUCGUGUAGAAUGACUCUUGCCAUCCUCUGGAAAGGGGUAUCUAAUUUGAUAAUGCUCCUUGCAGGCUAUCUUCCUCCUCCAAGUGAGCUCUUAGGAUGAGACUAUGAAGUGCUCGAAACAAUACAACUGCAGUUCGUGGUUCUGAAUCAUAAAAAUUGAGGAAAAUUCUUUGAAAACCAGAAUCAUCUAUACUGCAUUGCCUUCAAAUGGUGAGUCAAAUUUAGCCUGUGGAUUACGUGUUCUUCCUAAAUUAUAAGUCUGAAAGAUUUCUUACU